UUCCCUUACUUGGACAAGGCGG
rnacentral:misc_RNA from 1 species